rnacentral:lncRNA from 1 species
UGCUCUAUCACUUCAGACUCAACUGUUAAAUAUCAAGUUCAUGAAGUUUCUUCUAAACUAUUUAUUUUCCUGUUUCCAAUGAUUAUUAUUACUCCUUUAUUUCCCCUUCCUACAGGAAUUCACUGAUAAUAUUUGCUUAUUUUCCACAGUGAAGCUUACAAAAACUGAAUUCAAUUUCUCUUUUUAUCCUCGAUCUUUUAUAAUUGCCCUUUCCUAAAUGGUGGUUUUGUUUUGUUUGUUUGAUUGGUUGGUGGUUCAUUUGGUUUGGGUUUUUUCUGUCUUCAUUCACUUUGAUUCACUUUUUCCCUUUAUCCCAGUGUUGGUCAGUUUUUCAUUACUGUGGUCAGAAUACCUGACCAGAAUAACUUAGAAAAAGCAAAGUUUAUUUCAGUUCACAGUUUGAGAGGAUUCAAUUUGUAUUCACCCUGCUGGCUCCAUUCCUUUGGGCCCAAGGUAUCACGGAACAUCAUGGCAGGAGGGCAACAAAGAGAGAAAGAGAAUGUGUGGAAGAAGGCACCAGGGAUAAUAUAUAAACCACAAAAGCAUACCUCCAGUGACCAACUUCCUCCAGCCAUACCUUACCUGUCUAUAAUCACCAUCUCAUAGUCCCUUCAAAUUAUUAAUUCAGCAAAUGGAUUAAUCCACAAAUGAGGUCCAAGCCCUAAGCACUGACUAAAAGUCUUACCUCUGAACCCAACUACAUGGGGGGAUCACACUUUCAAAUCUUGAGCUUUUGUGGGGGCACAUUCCAGAUCCACAUCAUAACAUGCAGGUUCAUGGUUGUACCAGCAGCACUUUGUGCAUAGUGAUUUGACCAAGUCUGUGCAAAGGGAAAAUGAGAAGGGUGGGCUUCAACUUUUUUCUCAGUUGCUUUUCUCAAUGCUUCCUUAAUUUAUGCGCACUAUUUUUCUUUCUGCUGAUAUAAAAGAUGAUACCCUAAAGCAAAUUGGGGAACCACAUCAAUAGGUUGGUUCAGGUACCCAAAAAUUUCUAAGACAAAGAAGAAAAUUAUUCCUCCACCUUGGACUGAGAAUAAACUUCAGUGUAUUUCUAUAUUAUAGUGUUUUGGUAAUGUAUUUCUGCUUGACCCUACGUAACAGGCUGAUUAUUACCACAUCAAAACUCAAGUCCAUCCCUUUAACAUUUCACAGCAGGGUUACUGCAAGGUUUUCUGGUUUACUAGUUGUCUUUUGCUUUCUCAUUUGCAGAUGGGCAAAGGCCAGGCAAGUUCUUGUUCAUACUGGGGGAGACGAUCACAAUUCUCCCACAUACUGCAGUGAAUAGAAUUGAAGCCAGAAAUAAAGAUCUGCAGCAUCCUGGGAGAUGCAAAAUAAAAAUCAGGCAGUCUUUCCAAGUGUGUGUCCUGUCAAAACAUGCCAGGCAUUGAAGAAAUCCAAGAAUAAGACUUUAGAUCAGAAAUUGAAGAAACCAAAUGACAGCGGCCAAGUUCAAAGCAGAGGUUGAAGACAAAGUCUGGUGGUACUUUUCGAGUUUUUAGGACGCAUUUGGCUUCAGGACAAAGUAGGGAAGAAAGUAGGUAGAAUCUUACAUGGGCAUUAUUAUUUUUCCACAUUCCAGUACAUCCUGCCACUUGCCAUAGAGAUUGGUUCCUUCCUAAUCAGGUACAAAUAGUUUAAAAUUAGCAUAUUAAAUCUACUCCCAUCAUGUCAGCUUAGGUACUGCAUAUAUUAAAACAUUGUCAACUAUAAUAUUUUUUAAUUAUGGUGCUAGUGAGCAUGGAAACAAUGAAGGAAAAGAGAAAAGCCAGAAACAUACCCAGAUUUUAAAACCUCCAUGUCUAAUAAACAAAUCAUCAAAAUUCAGUGGGGUGAGUGUUGCUUUUCCACAAAGAAUUUAGGAAAAUUGACUAUCUGAAAACUAAUUAUUUAAUGUAAACAACCGUAAGUAAUUCUUUAAAACAAACUCACUGCUGUUUUGAUUUAACAAAUAUGUUGAGUACUACUAUCCGUUAGACUUGGGCAUUAUAACUGCAUCAUGACCUGUUUUUCAACUUAAAUAUCUCUAAUUCUAGAUGGGAAAAGAGGUGAAUGAUAAAACAGAGAGAGAGACAAACUGGAGUUAAAGAAAGACCUCUAAGCUGAGAUUUCCAUGAAGAGUUUACAUUAUUCUGGAAAAAAGAGGGCCAAGCAGAUGUGAGGGAAAGCUUAGACUAAGGUUAAGAAAAGCUUCUAGCAAGGGGAGCAAGGUGUAUGAAGAUUAAAAGCAAAAUAAAAUAUCUGAAAGUUGCAAGAAGGUCAGUAAAGCACUGUUGACAUUCUUCACAGCCUCUGCUCCAAAGCCAUGCAGAUACAGAAAGAUGGGUACAGUCUCAAGGGACCUUCAGUACAUGCUUAUAUUGGAACACAGGAAUGUUAUACUGAAAACUGGUUUAAGAAGAAAAAUAUGCAAAGGUCAUAAGUAGGCAUUAUAAAGUUUUAUUGUGUUGAAUGUUCAUAGUAAACUUGUGGUUAUCUUUUCAGAUUCACCAAUUUCCAGAGAAAAGCAGAAUGUUAAAGAAAAACAAAGUAUUAAUUUUUAAGUACUUUCUUAAUCUCAUUAAUUCAGCUUUUUUGGUAAGAAUUUUCAUAUUUUUAAUGAAGGAAAUAUAAUGCGUUCUUCUAGACAAUUACUGAAAAUAUUGACUUCUUACAGAUUCUUGGACUUUUAUUCGUGGGAUUUGGUGCCUGCCUUUUAUUAGAUAGAAAUACUUUUUUAACAGCGUUGGGUAUGUAUAUUUUUCUUUUUCUCUUAAUGAAAUAAACAAGGCUGAGAGAAAACUUUUCAGUUUAAGUAAGUCCCAUUUGCUGAUUUUUGUUGUCAACUUUUGUGCUAUGGGUGUCCUAUUAAGGAAUUUGGAGCCUGACCCUACAAUAUGUAGAUUGGAGCCAACUUUUUCUUCUAUCAGACGCAGAGUCUCUGAUUUGAUAUCUAGCUCCUUGAUCCACUUUGAGUUAACUUUUGUGCAUGGCGAGAGGAGGGGAUUCAGUUUCAUUUUGUUGCAUAUGGAUUUCCAGUUUUCCCAGCACCAUUUGUUGAAGAUGCUAUCCUCCCUCCAUUGCAUGCUUUUAGCUCCUUUAUCAAAUAUAAGAUAGUUGUAGCUUUGUCGAUUAGUCUCUGUGUCCUCUAUUCUGUACCAUUGGUCCACCCUCCUGUUUUGGUACCAGUACCAUGCUGUUUUGUUACUAUUGCUCUGUAAUAUAGUUUUAAGUCUGGUAUCGCUAUACCACCUGAUUCUCACUUCCUGCUUAGAAUUGCUUUUGCUAUUCUGGGUCUUUUAUUUUUCCAAAUGAAUUUCAUGAUUGCUUUAUCCAUUUCUACAAGAAAUGCCGUUGGGAUUUUGAUUGGCAUUGCAUUAAACCUAUAGAGAACUUUUGGUAAUAUCGCCAUUUUGAUGAUGUUAGUUCUGCCUAUCC